rnacentral:rRNA from 1 species
AACGAACGCUGGCGGCGUGCCUAAUACAUGCAAGUUGAGCGCUGAAGGUUGGUACUUGUACCAACUGGAUGAGCAGCGAACGGGUGAGUAACGCGUGGGGAAUCUGCCUUUGAGCGGGGGACAACAUUUGGAAACGAAUGCUAAUACCGCAUAAAAACUUUAAACACAAGUUUUAAGUUUGAAAGAUGCAAUUGCAUCACUCAAAGAUGAUCCCGCGUUGUAUUAGCUAGUUGGUGAGGUAAAGGCUCACCAAGGCGAUGAUACAUAGCCGACCUGAGAGGGUGAUCGGCCACAUUGGGACUGAGACACGGCCCAAACUCCUACGGGAGGCAGCAGUAGGGAAUCUUCGGCAAGGGACGAAAGGCUGACCGAGCAACGCCGCGGGAGUGAAGAAGGUUGUCGGAUCGUAAAACUCUGUUGGUAGAGAAGAACGUUGGUGAGAGUGGAAAGCUCAUCAAGUGACGGUAACUACCCAGAAAGGGACGGCUAACUACGUG